CCUACGGGUGGCAGCAGUAGGGAAUCUUCCACAAUGGGCGAAAGCCUGAUGGAGCAACGCCGCGUGGGUGAAGAAGGUCUUCGGAUCGUAAAACCCUGUUGUUAGAGAAGUAAGUGCGUGAGAGUAACUGUUUACGUUUCGACGGUAUCUAACCAGAAAGCCACGGCUAACUACGUGCCAGCAGCCGCGGUAAUACGUAGGUGGCAAGCGUUAUCCGGAUUUAUUGGGCGUAAAGGGAACGCAGGUGGUCUUUUAAGUCUGAUGUGAAAGUCUUCGGCUUAACCGGAGUAGUGCAUGGGAGACUGGUAGACUUGAGUGCAGAAGAGGAGGGUGGAACUCGAGGUGUAGCGGUGAAAUGCGUAGAUAUAUGGAAGAACACCAGUUGCGAAGGCAGCUCUCUAGUCUGUAACUGACGCUGAGGUUCGAAAGCGUGGGUAGCAAACAGGAUUAGAUACCCGAGUAGUC
rnacentral:rRNA from 1 species